rnacentral:lncRNA from 1 species
UUUUUUUAUGAUUAUUAAUAUGGAUGUCUAGACUAGCUUUUGCGCACCACAACAAAUCUCACGGGCCUUGAAGUUAACGACGAUGUAAGUCUCUAAUGACCUUUAAAUUUGUGAGACUCAAACUAAUGACCUCUAAGGAAUAAAUCUAGAAUCUGAUCAGUUGAGUUAUACCUCUCCAGAUUGGUAUUAUAUUUUUUUCAUGGCUCAGCUCUGUUGAUUCAUGCAAGGCAUCGAUUCAUUCAUAGCUCCAGUUUCUUUGUUCAAAAUUCAGAACCCAAAACUAGCUUAAAUCGAUUUUAAGCACAUCGUUGUCCUUACCAAUUAAUUUUUUAACACACACGUGCCAUUAUACUUGUGAAUGUAUGUAAUGAGAAUGCUCUAGUGCCUCUGGUUUACUGACUUCUGCUUAAAUUUUUUUAGAGUUUUUAUCUGACCAUCUUUUACCCAUUAGGCAAGGGAAAAGGUUGCAAUGCACGGCAGCUGAAGUGGAUGCUGCAGGAGUUCUGGCUGACAAUAAUUUAGGAUCUCAUGAUCAGUGGCGGCUUUCAAACAUCACUGCCUUUUUAGAAAUAGCUGGCAAUGCAAUUGUUUUCCUUCUCUUUCUUUUUCUUAAAGUGAGGAGAAAUAAAUUUGAAGAAAAGCUUAUUCAAACAAGUUGGUAGCAUUCAGAAUUGUCCGUUCAAUGGCUUUUUAGUUCGGUCUGAGGUGCAAAUUUUACGGUGUCAGGUUUUCUUUAUCUGCUUAUAUGAUGGUUGACUGGAGCAGUGUUGAUUCACAUCUAUACAGCCUUCAGCACAUUUUCUGAUGUAUUUGGCAUGACAAAACUAGCUUAGGUGCCAUCCUCACAGUCAAUUAACUGAUGCAGUACCAAUCAAAUUGUCCAAAAUUAGCGUAUUUAUCCCUUUCCGAGCUUGAAGCAACCAGAAGAAACAUAAAAAAAAAAUUCAUGGGCAGGUCUAUGUGAGC